AUAUUUCUUAUGUUUAUAGAAAAAUAGAAUACUUCAUCUUUUUCCUAAAUUUGUAAGUCAAUAUCAAUCCAUUUCUAUAAUCCAAGAUGAAGAAAUCCCUUCAACUCUCGUUUACGUUCUUAAUUAUCUCCAUCAUUCUCUCACAAGGAAUGAUGGCAGAUGCGCAGAAAAAGAAUUGUCCUCAUAAAAUUCAAAUAAAAGGAAGCUAUUGUGCUCCAACUAUAUGUUUGGAUAAGUGUAAGAAGCAACAUGGAACUCUUGGUAGUUGUUCGGAAGAAAAAGGAUUUUGUAAUUGCGCUUGUAAGUAAGGGUUCUCACUAAGUGUUAUGAAUCUAGUAAUGUCCAACCAAAGUUUUAUAUUAUUUCUUUUAACAAUAAGUCUAAAUGUUUGUCUCUGAUUUGUGGAUCUAUUUAUAAUAAAUAAUAAUAUGAAUGUUAAAUAAAUACAAAUGUGUAAAACAAGAGUGGACUAUUAAUAAAAUAUAUGAUCACAUUAUUGUUAGAAGUAACCAAUAUUAUGUGUAAAAUCAAAAGCUUAAGAUGAGUUAAAAAGAUAGAGAUGAAAUCACAACCAAUAUUUAAAUGUGAGAUAAUCAACUAACAUGUAAUUUUGUACACAUUGUAAAAAAGAAAAAAAAAGCAAGAGUUGAUUAUCAAACAAGAAAGUGUUAGAAAGAGCAACAAAUCAUGCAAGGGCAGUCUAGGCUUGAAUUGGCAUGACAGAUGGGUUGCAGACAUGCCAUGGGAAAGUCUUAAAAACUCAUCAGACAACGCAAAGAAAAUUGAUAGCACUGUUUCUGAACAUGCCAAAGCUCUGGUCAUGAAGAAAAAUUUCACAACCAGAGUUUUUGGUAGUCCUCCUCCAAUGUCAUCAUCAGCUACGAGUUCUGAGAUUUCAUCCACAUAUCUGUCUCCAUUUCCCUUCUCAUGAAGUUUCCUUUAGGGAAGAUGUUAUUACAGAAAUCCAAGUUACAUGAACCUAACACAAUCUAUCAAAGCUAAGAAGAGAUGAUCAACCAGUAUUCUUCAUCUUCUUGUUCAAAAAUCAUUGUUUGAAAAGAAAGAGUUCAUCUCUUACAACGAAGAUGUGAAUGUAAAGUGUUGUGCAUGUUCAGAUCCAUCUUGCAACCAGUGGAGUGAUCUAUAUGCACAUGCUCAAGUAACAAGGAGAAAUAUGGUGUCAAAGAAGCUAAAGUAAAGAUCGUUUCAUUAAAUCAUUAAAACAUUUCAACACCUUGAUGGUUCUAAAACACACACAACAUACUGAUUUAUAGAUAUAUGAGCAACUUCUAUGUAUGUUCUUUUACAUACGAGUUAGUAUGAAGACUGCUGCAAUGUUGUUGUUUGACCACUUUUAUUAUUUAAUAGUUAACUUAUGAUGCUUCUAAGAUAAUAUGUUCUUCCCAACUCUUUGUCAAUAUGAAACCAAGAGCAAAGUUUCAUCUUUAGACAUGAAAGGCCUAUUAAAUGACCAAAUAACCUAGUUUAGACGAAAGCUUCCUAAUAAAAUUUAUUCUCACUAUCUAAAUCUAAAAUUGAAUUCAAUUCAUCUAUCUGAUUAUUAUAUAGUUUUCAUUUUUUGUUAUUUUAUUGAAUGAAUAAAAAAAUUUAAUUAAAUACUUACUAAUUUUUUUUUAAUAUAAUCUUAUAAAUUACGUUACAUGUGGGACAUCCACCUAAUAAACUAUUAAUUUAAAUAGUAAUGUUUGAAAAGUAAUUUAAUGAAAUUGUUUUAAAUAAAUUCAUAAUUCUAAAAAUAGCAAUAACUUUUUGAGAACAUCAGAUUUAUGUACACGCAUAGGACACAUACCUUUUUAUUUACUUAAAGGAAAAUGAACGAGUCUAAAGCUUCCACAUGUUAUAUGAGCAAAACAUGGAUUUUUCUAAAUUAGAUUCGUUUAAAUCGGAACAUAUUAAUGUGAGUUUCUUAAAUUAGAUUUUUAAUAUGUAUAUAUAUGUAAGAAUACUUCUUAUGUUUAUAGAAAAAUAGAAUACUUCAUCUCUUUCCUAAAUUUGUAAGUCAAUAUCAAUCCAUUUCUAUAAUCCAAGAUGAAGAAAUCCCUGCAACUCUCGUUUACGUUCUUAAUUAUCUCCAUCAUUCUCUCACAAGGAAUGAUGGCAGAUGCGCAGAAAAAGAAUUGUCCUCAUAAAAUUCAAAUAAAAGGAAGCUAUUGUGCUCCAACUAUAUGUUUGGAUAAGUGUAAGAAGCAACAUGGAACUCUUGGUAGUUGUUCGGAAGAAAAAGGAUUUUGUAACUGCGCUUGUAAGUAAGGAUUCUCACUAAGUGUUAUGAAUCUAGUAAUGUCCAACCAAAGUUUUAUAUUAUUUCUUUUAACAAUAAGUCUAAAUGUUUGUCUCUUAUUUGUGGAUCUAUUUAUAAUAAAUAAUAAUAUGAAUGUUAAAUAAAUACAAAUGUGUAAAACAAGAGUGGACUAUUAAUAAAAUAUAUGAUCACAUUAUUG